rnacentral:piRNA from 1 species
UACAGAUAGAGUAAUGGUGAUCUUUGAU